rnacentral:rRNA from 1 species
AACGAACGCUGGCGGCAGGCUUAACACAUGCAAGUCGAACGCCCCGCAAGGGGAGUGGCAGACGGGUGAGUAACGCGUGGGAACGUGCCCUUCGCUUCGGAAUAGCCCCGGGAAACUGGGAGUAAUACCGAAUACGCCGUAUUGGGAAAGAUUUAUCGGCGAAGGAUCGGCCCGCGUUGGAUUAGCUAGUUGGCGGUGUAAUGGACCACCAAGGCUACGAUCCAUAGCUGGUCUGAGAGGAUGAUCAGCCACACUGGGACUGAGACACGGCCCAGACUCCUACGGGAGGCAGCAGUGGGGAAUGUUGGACAAUGGGCGCAAGCCUGAUCCAGCCAUGCCGCGUGAGUGAAGAAGGCCUUAGGGUUGUAAAACUCUUUCGCCGGAGAAGAUAAUGACGGUAUCCGGAGAAGAAGCCCCGGCUAACUUCGUGCCAGCCGCCGCCGUAAAAC